GCUGGGCAUGGUGGCGCGUGCCUGUAAUCCCAGCUGCUCGGGAGGCUGAGGCAGGAGAAUUGCCUGAACCCAGGAGGCGGAGAUUGCGGUGAGCAAAGAUCGCGCCAUUGCACUCCAGCCUGGGUAACAAGAGCGAAACUCCAUCUCAAAAAAAAAAGAAAAGAAAAAGAAAGAGAAUUAGAUCUCCUUUUUUUUUUUGAAACGUGGUUUCGCUCUUGUUACCCAGGCUGGAGUGCAAUGGCACGAUCUUGGCUCACUGCAAUCUCCGCCUCCUGGGUUCAGGCAAUUCUCCUGCCUCAG
rnacentral:SRP_RNA from 1 species